GACGAACGCUGGCGGCGUGCCUAAUACAUGCAAGUCGAACGCUGAAGGAGGAGCUUGCUUCUCCGGAUGAGUUGCGAACGGGUGAGUAACGCGUAGGUAACCUGCCUGGUAGCGGGGGAUAACUAUUGGAAACGAUAGCUAAUACCGCAUAAGAGUAGAUGUCGCAUGACAUUUGCUUAAAAGUUGCAACUUCACCACUACCAGAUGGCCCUGCGUUGUAUUAGCUAGUUGGUGAGGUAAGAGCUCACCAAGGCAACGAUGCAUAUCCGACCUGAGAGGGGGGAUCGCCCCACUGGGAAUGGGACCCGGCCCAGACUCCUACGGGAGGCAGCAGGAGGGGAUCUUCGGACAUGGGCGGAAGUCUGAACGAACAACGCCGGGUGAGGGAAGGAGGGUUUCGGGUCGUAAAGCUCUGUUGUAAGAGAAGAAAGAGUGUGAGAGUGGAAAGUUCACACUGUGACGGUAUCUAACCAGAAAGCGACGGCUAACUACGUG
rnacentral:rRNA from 1 species